rnacentral:lncRNA from 1 species
CCGCUCCCAGUCAGAAUUUCCUCCUGGUUUUUGAGCAGCUAUUUGCAUUUAUCCUCUAUACGGUUGUCUCCCAUUCAAUAUGGUGUUGACCUAAAAUUCCCUGCAAAUUCGAUAACGUUUCCUUUCCUCAGCAAAUUUCCUCCUUCCCCAACUAGGUUUGAGCCUGUGGGAUGUUGAUCUCCCUUUUCUCCAGCAUUUGUCUCCUUAUUUUGUGGAUUGACCGAGGAUUGUACCGAUGAUUCAAAUUUUGCAACACCUUUGUAUCCUUUGCGAUCGCUUUAUC